UCGCAAUGCCCGAAAGGGUGACGAAGCGACGCCGCGUGGGUGAGGAAGGCCUUCGGGUUGUAAAGCCCUGUCAGGAGUUAAGAAAUGUAGACUCGCUAACAUCGGGUCUAUUUGACAAAGGCUCCAAAGGAAGCCACGGCUAACUCUGUGCCAGCAGCCGCGGUAAUACAGAGGUGGCAAGCGUUGUUCGGAAUUAUUGGGCGUAAAGAGCACGUAGGUGGAUUUGUAAGUCAGACGUGAAAGCCUUCUGUUCAACGGAAGAAUUGCAUCUGAAACUACAAACCUUGAGUGUAGGAGGGGAGAAUGGAACUUCUGGUGGAGCGGUGAAAUGCGUAGAUAUCAGAAGGAACGCCGGCGGCGAAAGCGAUUCUCUGGCCUAUUACUGACACUCAGUGUGCGAAAGCUAGGGGAGCAAACGGGAUUAGAUACCCCGGUAGUCCUAGCCGUAAACGAUGGGCACUAAGUAGAGGGGU
rnacentral:rRNA from 1 species